UGGGGAAUAUUGCACAAUGGGCGCAAGCCUGAUGCAGCCAUGCCGCGUGUAUGAAGAAGGCCUUCGGGUUGUAAAGUACUUUCAGCGGGGAGGAAGGGAGUAAAGUUAAUACCUUUGCUCAUUGACGUUACCCGCAGAAGAAGCACCGGCUAACUCCGUGCCAGCAGCCGCGGUAAUACGGAGGGUGCAAGCGUUAAUCGGCAUUACUGGGCGUAAAGCGCACGCAGGCGGUUUGUUAAGUCAGAUGUGAAAUCCCCGGGCUCAACCUGGGAACUGCAUCUGAUACUGGCAAGCUUGAGUCUCGUAGAGGGGGGUAGAAUUCCAGGUGUAGCGGUGAAAUGCGUAGAGAUCUGGAGGAAUACCGGUGGCGAAGGCGGCCCCCUGGACGAAGACUGACGCUCAGGUGCGGAAGCGUGGGGAGCAAACA
rnacentral:rRNA from 1 species